rnacentral:rRNA from 1 species
GUCUACAUCCAUGCCACCCUGAACAAGUCCGAUCCCAUCUGAUCUUGGAAGUUAAGGAGUAUCGGGCCUGGUUAGUAUUUGGAUGGGAGACCACCUAGGAAGACCUGGUACUAUAGGGG